GUCAAAUAAAAAGUCACUUCUAUCAUUCAUCUAAAAUAUUAUAUAUAAACGGUGUGAGCACAAGCUCCAUUCCAAUUCCCUGGUAACAAACAUGAAUAAAAAAGACAAACCAAAAUUCUACUAUGCUUUGGCUAGAAUUUUUGUACUGUAAGAAUUAUCGUGCAACCACCUACACCAACAAACCAAUCACCUCACCAGCAUCGCCACCACCGCAUAGCAUUGAUAAACCUCGACACCACAACUAACAUGAUGAAAAGAAAACAAAGGUAAAUAAGAAAUAAACCCAAAUUUCCCCAUAUGAACUAAUCGAGUGUUUCACAUAACUACUGAAAACUUUUCAAAACAUUGUUCCGACAUCAGAUCCAUCACGAAAAGGUCUACCCAAAAUCUCCCAAAAUGGUACCCAAAUCGAAAAUCCAUACUAUUUUCGCGAACACCGGUGCCGCAACAGAGCUGCAGCAGUACAAAGCGGCCACCAUGGUCAGCGGCGUGAGCGCCACGCAACUGCAUCCCUCACGCUACCAUAGUAAUGUUAUCACCGCAAUUGUUCCCCUCCUUUUCGAUGGUUGUGAGAGAGAGAGAGGGGGAAGGCGUUGUGGUAGAGUGUGAGAAAGAAGUGAAAUUUUGUUUAGGAUUUGAGGGUGUGGA
rnacentral:lncRNA from 1 species